rnacentral:lncRNA from 1 species
UGGCAGUGGGUGGCACCGGUCAGUGGUAGCAUGGGAUUUGGCCGUGGCAGCAGCGCUGGCGGCAGCAUGAGAUCUAGUGGUGGCGCUUGGGUAGGCUCAGCAUCUUGUCAACGACUGACUCCCCACAACGUUUGUUUGUUUCAAACAUUUGAGCGUGACUCGCAACCAAAUUCUAAAACUUAAGCUUGCACACUUGCAGUGGUUCGAAAACCGGAACGUUUGAAAUAUCGCAUGAUCCAGAAUCCUUGUUUUCCGAUUCAGAGCAGCCGAUUUGAUUCCGCCGGUUUUGGAAUGGCUUCCUAUGUUGUGUGAAGCACCCGCUGCUUGAGCUCUCACCUGGAAAGAAACAUUCGCUGGGUAGAGAUGUUGUAGCGCUCCCGCG